UACGGAGGGUGCAAGCGUUAAUCGGAAUUACUGGGCGUAAAGCGCACGCAGGCGGUCUGUCAAGUCGGAUGUGAAAUCCCCGGGCUCAACCUGGGAACUGCAUUCGAAACUGGCAGGCUAGAGUCUUGUAGAGGGGGGUAGAAUUCCAAGUGUAGCGGUGAAAUGCGUAGAGAUCUGGAGGAAUACCGGUGGCGAAGGCGGCCCCCUGGACAAAGACUGACGCUCAGGUGCGAAAGCGUGGGGAGCAAACAGG
rnacentral:rRNA from 1 species